rnacentral:tmRNA from 1 species
ACCCUAUGAUAUAAUAUUAGUGUACGAAUGUACUAUGGUAAUAAACGAUUUACGGAAUAGUUUUCAUGGACCGGGGGGCAGUACCCCGCACUUCCACCAUUCCAUGGGAGUGAAAUAGGUUCGACAUGGAAAAGUAAAAGUAAAUUUGUUACUCGGCAUUGUUCCACCGUUAUCGGACUAAAAUUUUAUAAUUGCCAAAUUUAAUGGUAAAGCUAUAAACCUUAAUCGGAGAAGUAGCAAACGUCGUGCUUCUAACUCUAAUAAGAAAGAAGCAAAAGCUGCGUAAUAUUAGUAAUGCCUGUUAAGGGUUAUUUAAUACUACCAAUACCGUUAUGUUAAAAUAACGGUGACGUUGUGCGGUUUGGGGACACCGAGCAACAGAAGUCCCC